GGGUGCUUAAGGCUUUCUGUCUUAAGUACAAAUGGACGAGGGACAGAAAGAGAAAAGCCCCGGGCAAUAUUUCUAUUAACCCGAGGCUAUCUCUCAACCCCAAACAAGUUGAGAAUAGCCGCUUACUCGCCGCAAGGCAAGGAGUAAAUGGCAUG
rfam:Escherichia hermannii NBRC 105704 DNA, contig: EH10570402.